rnacentral:rRNA from 1 species
CUGGCGGCACGCCUAACACAUGCAAGUCGAACGCAGUAGCAAUACUGAGUGGCAGACGGGUGAGUAACAUGUGGGAAUCUGCCUUGUGGUUCAGGACAACAUUGGGAAACCGAUGCUAAUACUGGAUAAGCCCUUACGGGGAAAGUUUUAAUGCCAUAAGAUGAGCCCGCAUUUGAUUAGUUAGUUGGUGAGGUAAUGGCUCACCAAGACAAUGAUCAAUAGCUGAUCUGAGAGGAUGAUCAGCCACACUGGGACUGAGACACGGCCCAGACUCCUACGGGAGGCAGCAGUGGGGAAUCUUGCACAAUGGAGGAAACUCUGAUGCAGCGAUGCCGCGUGAGUGAAGAAGGCCUUUGGGUUGUAAACGCUCUUUUGUAGGGGAAGAUAAUGACGUGUACCCUAAGAAUAAGGUCCGGCUAACUUCGUGUCAGCAGCCGCGGUAAUACGAAGGGACCUAGCGUAGUUCGGAAUUACUGGGCGUAAAGCGCGCGUAGGCCGUUGAGUUAGUU